rnacentral:rRNA from 1 species
CCUACGGGAGGCAGCAGUGAGGAAUAUUGGUCAAUGGACGCAAGUCUGAACCAGCCAUGCCGCGUGCAGGAAGACGGCUCUAUGAGUUGUAAACUGCUUUUGUACGAGGGUAAACGCAGAUACGCGUAUCUGUCUGAAAGUAUCGUACGAAUAAGGAUCGGCUAACUCCGUGCCAGCAGCCGCGGUAAUACGGAGGAUCCAAGCGUUAUCCGGAUUUAUUGGGUUUAAAGGGUGCGUAGGCGGAUUGAUAAGUUAGAGGUGAAAUGUCCGAGCUUAACUCGGGAACUGCCUCUAAUACUGUUGAUCUAGAGAGUAGAUGCGGUAGGCGGAAUGUAUGGUGUAGCGGUGAAAUGCUUAGAUAUCACGAAGAACUCCGAUUGCGAAGGCAGCUUACUAAACUGCCACUGACAUUGAUGCUCGAAAGUGUGGGUAUCAAACAGGAUUAGAUACCCCAGUAGUC